AUAGAAAAACAAGUUUUUUUUAAAAAAAUCUCUAUGGCCAAAAUCCUUUUACUUACUGUAAAAGAAAUUAUGCUGUCUAUUAAAACAAUCUCCUUAGACAAUGUGGAAUAAUUUGACCAUGGCCUUUAAAAAAUUGAAAUAUAAUUUACAUGCCAUAAAAUUUAUCCUGUUGAAGUAUACAGUUCAGUGAUUUUUAAUAUAUUUGUAAGUUUGGUCAACCAUCCCUUCUAAUUCUAGGAUAUUGUCAUCUCUCCAGAAAGAAAUCUCAUACCUUUAACAUUUUCUCUCCAAUUUCCCAUCCUCCUUAGUGUAGACAGGCACAAACCUACUUUCUAACUCUAGGCAUCUACCAAUUCUAGACUUUUCAUAUAAAUGGAAUCAGGUAUGGGUUUUGUGCCUGGCUUUCAAGGUUAAUCCAUGUUGUAGCAUACAUUAGUUCUUCAUUCAUUUUUCUUGUCAAAUAACACCCCAUCCUGUGGCUAUGUCAUAAUGGACAUGCAUAUUUUCUCUUUGGGCUAUUUUGAACAAUGCUACAAUGAAAAAUUGUACAGAAGUUUUUAUGUGCACACAAUGUUUUCACUUCUCUGAGAAGUGGGAUUCCCAAGUCAGAUAGGACUCUAGGUUUAACUUUUUGAAGAAGUAUCAGAGUGUUUCCAGAAUGCCUGUUCUAUUUACCUUCUACCACCAAGGCUUAGAGGUUCCAAUUUCUCCAAAUACCAACACUUACAAUUGCUUGUUCUUUUAAAAAAAAGAGCCACCAUAGAGGAAGAUAAUGGAAGAAGAGAUUUGCUGGGUCCUGGAGGAUGGAGGAGAGCAAAAUGCCCAGCCAUAUUCUCAAGAAGCAGAGCAGAGGGGGCCUGUGGAAAGAUUCCUUUUGUUGAAGUCUCCUGAGUGCUGAGAGCAGACUGUCUCUCAGGGGGACAGCCACAGUAACAGCAGAACCCAGCACAUUUUAAACAGAAGCGUUGGCAACUAAUUCCUAGGGCUCCAGCACUACAAUCCAUGCAACGCUCAGGAGGAGGAGAGAUUUCUGGGACAAGAAGGGGAUUCUUGCUCAGCUCUACCCCACCUUCCUUAUAGAAUAAAAACCUGCAGCACACUGAUGCCCAUGAAUUUCUCUAAAGUUAUGAAAUAAGUUAGUAGGAAAGUUGAGAAUGGAAACGGGUUUUCAACUCUUCAUCUAGUGUUUUACUAGUAUGAUAGACUGCCUACAAAAAAGCACGUUAUCAGAGAUUUUAAUAUUAGU